UUUGCUACGGAAUAGUCCCGGGAAACUGGGUUUAAUACCGUAUACGCUCUUCGGAGGAAAGAUUUAUCGGCAAAGGAUCGGCCCGCGUUGGAUUAGGUAGUUGGUGGGGUAAUGGCCUACCAAGCCGACGAUCCAUAGCUGGUUUGAGAGGAUGAUCAGCCACACUGGGACUGAGACACGGCCCAGACUCCUACGGGAGGCAGCAGUGGGGAAUCUUAGACAAUGGGGGAAACCCUGAUCUAGCCAUGCCGCGUGAGCGAUGAAGGCCUUAGGGUUGUAAAGCUCUUUCGCUGGGGAAGAUAAUGACGGUACCCAGUAAAGAAGCCCCGGCUAACUCCGUGCCAGCAGCCGCGGUAAUACGGAGGGGGCUAGCGUUGUUCGGAAUUACUGGGCGUAAAGCGCGCGUAGGCGGAUUGGAAAGUUGGGGGUGAAAUCCCGGGGCUCAACCCCGGAACUGCCUCCAAAACUAUCAGUCUGGAGUUCGAGAGAGGUGAGUGGAAUUCCGAGUGUAGAGGUGAAAUUCGUAGAUAUUCGGAGGAACACCAGUGGCGAGGGCGGCUCACUGGCUCGAUACUGACGCUGAGGUGCGAAAGUGUGGGGAGCAAACAGGAUUAGAUACCCUGGUAGUCCACACCGUAAACGAUGAAUGCCAGACGUCGGGCAGUAUACUGUUCGGUGUCAC
rnacentral:rRNA from 1 species